rnacentral:misc_RNA from 1 species
AAGAAAAGAAAAGAAAAAAAAAAACCAAAAAGUCUUCUUCUUCCCUAAGUGCCGCCCUCACUCUCUCUCUCCCUCUCCAUUUCUAAACUUCCAUGGAAGCUUGCACUCAAGCUUUUGAACACACAAAUUAAACCCUAAUUUCCUUAAAUUAUCAACUUAAACCUCAUCCUUGCAUCUUAAAGAGUAUUGAGGAGCAAGAAAUAGAAAGCAAAUUGGAGAAAAGGGGAGUUAGAAAUUGCUACAUAAAGGUUAGUAAUAAACUCUAAAUUAUUUCUUUAAAUUUCAUGCAAAUAUGCUUAAAGUAACUUAGAAACUAAAGAAAUGAAGUAAAAACAUUUGUGGAGGACCAAACCUAAAUUUCGGCCAGCAUGGUGGGGAGUGUGUUGAAUAGGAAUAUGAACCUUAAGUAGUUGAGUGAUUAUAGUUAAAGGCUUUGAAUUAGUUAAAUGCAACAAUUUAGUGAGUUAGGGUUUUGGACACUUAGGGUUUAGAGAAAAAAAUGUGAGAAAUUGGUAAAUUAUGUCUUUGACCUAGUUUGAAGUGAGAAAUUGUCAUUUGUGACCAAAUGAAGUGU